rnacentral:rRNA from 1 species
GCAGUGUGAGAAAUCGCGACGGGGGGAUCCCAAGUGCCAUUCUUAACGGGAUGGCUUUUCAUUAGUGUAAAAAGCUUUUGGAAUAAGAGCUGGGCAAGACCGGUGCCAGCCGCCGCGGUAACACCGGCAGCUCUAGUGGUAGCAAUUUUUAUUGGGCCUAAAGCGUCCGUAGCCGGUUUAAUAAGUCUCUGGUGAAAUCCUGUAGCUUAACUGUGGGAAUUGCUGGAGAUACUAUUAGACUUGAGACCGGGAGAGGUUAGAGGUACUCCCAGGGUAGAGGUGAAAUUCUGUAAUCCUGGGAGGACCGCCUGUUGCGAAGGCGUCUAACUGGAACGGUUCUGACGGUGAGGGACGAAAGUUAGGGGCGCGAACCGGAUUAGAUACCCGGGUAGUCCUAACCGUAAACGAUGCGGACUUGGUGUUGGGGUGGCUUUGAGCUGCUUCAGUGCCGAAGGGAAGCUGUUAAGUCCGCCGCCUGGGAAGUACGGUCGCAAGACUGAAACUUAA